rnacentral:rRNA from 1 species
GCUAAUAGAUGAGCCUAAGUCGGAUUAGCUAGUUGGUGGGGUAAAGGCCUACCAAGGCGACGAUCUGUAGCGGGUCUGAGAGGAUGAUCCGCCACACUGGGACUGAGACACGGCCCAGACUCCUACGGGAGGCAGCAGUGGGGAAUAUUGGACAAUGGGGGGAACCCUGAUCCAGCCAUGCCGCGUGUGUGAAGAAGGCCUUUUGGUUGUAAAGCACUUUAAGCGAGGAGGAGGCUACCGAGAUUAAUACUCUUGGAUAGUGGACGUUACUCGCAGAAUAAGCACCGGCUAACUCUGUGCCAGCAGCCGCGGUAAUACAGAGGGUGCAAGCGUUAAUCGGAUUUACUGGGCGUAAAGCGCGCGUAGGUGGCCAAUUAAGUCAAAUGUGAAAUCCCCGAGCUUAACUUGGGAAUUGCAUUCGAUACUGGUUGGCUAGAGUAUGGGAGAGGAUGGUAGAAUUCCAGGUGUAGCGGUGAAAUGCGUAGAGAUCUGGAGGAAUACCGAUGGCGAAGGCAGCCAUCUGGCCUAAUACUGACACUGAGGUGCGAAAGCAUGGGGAGCAAACAGGAUUAGAUACCCUGGUAGUCCAUGCCGUAAACGAUGUCUACUAGCCGUUGGGGCCUUUGAGGCUUUAGUGGCGCAGCUAA